rnacentral:rRNA from 1 species
GAUGAACGCUGACGGCGUGCCUAAUACAUGCAAGUCGAGCGAAUGGAUUGAGAGCUUGCUCUUAUGAAGUUAGCGGCGGACGGGUGAGUAACACGUGGGUAACCUGCCCAUAAGACUGGGAUAACUCCGGGAAACCGGGGCUAAUACCGGAUAACAUUUUGAACCGCAUGGUUCGAAAUUGAAAGGCGGCUUCGGCUGUCACUUAUGGAUGGACCCGCGUCGCAUUAGCUAGUUGGUGAGGUAAUGGCUCACCAAGGCAACGAUGCGUAGCCGACCGGGGAGGGUGAUCGGCCACCCUGGGGCUGCGACACGGCCCGGACGCCUCCGGGAGGAAGCAGUAGGGAAUCUUCCGCAAUGGACGAAAGUCUGACGGAGCAACGCCGCGUGAGUGAUGAAGGCUUUCGGGUCGUAAAACUCUGUUGUUAGGGAAGAACAAGUGCUAGUUGAAUAAGCUGGCACCUUGACGGUACCUAACCAGAAAGCCACGGCUAACUACGUGCCAGCCGCCGCCGUAA